CCUACGGGCGGCAGCAGUGGGGAAUCUUCGGCAAUGGGCGCAAGCCUGACCCAGCAACGCCGCGUGAAGGAAGAAGGCUUUCGGGUUGUAAACCUCUUUUGACAGGGAAGAGUGGAAGACGGUACCUAUCGUAUAAGCCAUGGCCAACUACGUGCAAGCAGCCGCGGCUAUACGUAGGUGGCAAGCGUUGGCCGGAUUUACGGGGUGAAAAGGGCGUGUAGUCGGGUUGAAAAGUCAGAUGUGAAAUCCUUGGGGUUAAACGAAGAACUGCAUUGGAAACUGUUGAUCUUGAGUACUGGAGAGGCAGACGGAAUUCCUAGUGUAGCGGUGAAAUGCGUAGAUAUUAGGAGGAACACCAGUGGCGAAGGCGGUCUGCUGGACAGCAACUGACGGUGAGGCGCGAAAGCGUGGGGAGCAAACAGGAUUAGAUACCCCGGUAGUC
rnacentral:rRNA from 1 species